GUUAGUUUUUAAGAGCGUUCGGUGGAUGCCUUGGUAUCAGGGGCCGAUGAAGGACGUGGUGGACUGCGAUAAGCCUCGGGGAGCUGUCUGACAGGCUUUGAUCCGAGGGUUUCCGAAUAGGGGAACCUAGCAAGAGUAAUGUCUUGUUACCUGCGCCUGAAUGUAUAGGGCGCAAGGGGGUGUACGCGGGGAAGUGAAACAUCUUAGUACCCGCAGGAAAAGAUAUUCCGUUAGUAGUGGCGAGCGAAAGCGGAUUAGGUGAAACCGUGUUAGUGUGAUAGACGCCAGUUGUUGCUGAUGCGGGGUUGUGGGGCGUGUUCGUAUAUUCUCUGGCGGGGGUGUGCGUAGUUAUAAAUGUUUGGUGUAGUUGAAUAGUCUGGGAAGGCUAAGCGUAGACGGUGAUACUCCGGUAGGCGAAACAUCAGGCACUGCGUUGGACAUGUUUCCCAAGUAGCACGGGGCUCGUGGAAUCUUGUGUGAAUUUGCUAAGACCACUUAGCUGCCUAAAUACUUCCUGGUAACCGAUAGCGGAUAAGUACCGUGAGGGAAUGGUGAAAAGUACCCCGGGAGGGGAGUGAAAUAGUACCUGAAACCGGGCGCUUACAAGCCGUCAAAGCCCUUUAGGGGGUGAUGGCGUGCCUAUUGAAGAAUGAGCCUGCGAGUUAGUGGCGUGUCGCGAGGUUAACCCGUGUGGGGGAUCCGUAGCGAAAGCGAGUCUGAAAGGGCGUUUAGUGGCACGUUCUAGACCCGAAGCGGGGUGAUCUACCCAUGGCCAGGUUGAAGCACGUGUAAGAGCGUGUGGAGGACCGAACCCACUUCAGUUGAAAAUGGAGGGGAUGAGCUGUGGGUAGGGGUGAAAGGCCAAUCAAACUCCGUGAUAGCUGGUUCUCCCCGAAAUGCAUUUAGGUGCAGCGUUGCGUGGUUCCGGGCGGGGGUAGAGCUACUGGAUGGCUGAUGGGCCUUACAGGGUUACUGACGUCAACCAAACUCCGAAUACCGUCCGGGUAUAGCGUGGCAGUGAGACAGUGGGGGAUAAGCUCCGUUGUCGAGAGGGAAACAGCCCAGAUCGCCGGCUAAGGCCCCUAAGCGUGUGCUAAGUGGGAAAGGAUGUGCGGUCGCGUUGACAACCAGGAGGUUGGCUUAGAAGCAGCCAUCCUUGAAAGAGUGCGUAAUAGCUCACUGGUCAAGUGAUCGUGCGCCGACAAUGUAGCGGGGCUCAAGUAGUCCGCCCUGGGUGAGUCGGGUCCUAAGGCGAGGCCGACAGGCGUAGUCGAUGGGUAACCGGUUGAUAUUCCGGUACCGGCUGGUAACCGUCAAGUGUUGACUGAAAGGUACUAACCCACGCUAAAAACAUGAUCGGGCGCCUUUUGGGUGUUUGGUUGUGGUUUUGGUUUGGGGACAGGCUUUCUUGGUAGGCAAGCGUGUGGAGUGACGCACAGUGGAAGCCUUCGCGAGGUGAUGGAAUACCUCGUUUAACCGUGUAGCUUACUGCUCAGGUAAAUCCGGGUGGUUUUAUGUGAGGCGGGAUGAUGACCACUUUUGGUGGGAAGUAGGGGUGAUCCUGUGGUGCCGAGAAAAGCUUCGACGCGAGGUGGCUGGCCGCCCGUACCCUAAACCGACACAGGUGGUCGGGCAGAGUAUGCCUAGGCGCACGAGAUAAUCAUGGUUAAGGAACUCGGCAAAAUGCCCCCGUAACUUCGGGAGAAGGGGGGCCUGAUACUUGAUGAAACCAUUUUUUGUGGCUUUCUAGGGUUGAGGGUCGCAGAGACCAGGGAGAAGCGACUGUUUACUAAAAACACAGGUGCGUGCGAAGCCGUAAGGCGAUGUAUACGUACUGACGCCUGCCCGGUGCUGGAAGGUUAAGAGGAACCGUCAGCUGGCUUUUUGUUGGUGAAGCGGUGAAUUUAAGCCCCAGUAAACGGCGGUGGUAACUAUAACCAUCCUAAGGUAGCGAAAUUCCUUGUCGGGUAAGUUCCGACCUGCACGAAUUUACGCGCAGAAGGACGGAAAGACCCCGGGACCUUUACUAUAGCUUGGUAUUGGUGCGCGUUAUAGCUUGUGUAGGAUAGGUGGGAGACUGUGAAGUGGUCACGCUAGUGAUUGUGGAGUCGUUGUUGAAAUACCACUCUGGUUAUAGCGUGUGCCUGAACCUUGGCCCGUGAUCCGGGUUAGGGACAGUGCCUGGUGGGUAGUUUAACUGGGGCGGUUGCCUCCUAAAUUGUAACGGAGGCGCUCAAAGGUUCCCUCAUCCUGGUCGGUAACCAGGUGUUGAGUGUAAGUGCACAAGGGAGCUUGACUGCGAGACUGACAGGUCGAGCAGGUACGAAAGUAGGAACUAGUGAUCCGGCGAUCCCGUGUGGGUGGGUCGUCGCUCAACGGAUAAAAGGUACCCCGGGGAUAACAGGCUGA
rnacentral:rRNA from 1 species